CCAGAGGGCCGGGCGGCCGCCGGCAUUUCUUCGGAAAUGCGGGAGGAAAGUCCGGGCUCCAGCGAGGAUCGGUGCCGGAUAACGUCCGGCGGGGGCGACCCCAGGGAAAGUGCCACAGAAAGCAAACCGCCAGUGCUUCGGCACGGUAAGGUCGAAAGGGUGCGGCAAGAGCGCACCGCGCGUCCGGCAACGGAAGCGGCAUGGUAAACCCCACCGGGAGCAAGACCGAAUAGGGGCGGCAUAUGGGAUUCCUCCUCCCCGUCGCCCGGGUUGGUUGCUUGAGCGGGCUGGCAACAGUCCGCCUAGAGGAAUGGUCGCCCAUCCCCGUGCUUCGGCAAGGGGUGGACAGAACCCGGCUUACAGGCCCUCUGGCAUU
rnacentral:RNase_P_RNA from 1 species